UUUAUUUUAUUUAAUGGUUAAGAUUCGAAGUUAUUUUUUUCUAACUCUUAAUCUCAGCCGUCCAUCUUACUAUGCAAGCUCUAUCAUAAUAGCUUCGGAUGGGGACAGAAAGCCUUGUGAGCUUCGAUGGCAACGGCAAUGGUAGUUUGUCGUUGCUGGUCUAUGUUAAGAAACUUGGAUUUUAGAGGUUGGGAUCCAAACCCCAAACCCCCUAUCUGGGCGUCAAAAUCCCAAAAUUCAUUGAUAUCAAACAACGGCAUGCUUCAAGCCUCUAUGGUUAGGAAUUUUAGAAUUUAGUGCUCGAACAACGCCUCUUCUUCGUCUCCUAAAAAAAAAAAAUAAUAAAUAAAAAAAAACCUUAACCCUAAGUCCCUAACCAUGACUAUUCCUAUGACAUAUUCAAGUCCUCUCUUUCUUUGUUUAAAUUUGAUUGUUACUUGGAUCUGUUUGUAUUUAGUAGUGGAUUGUUAACGAUCAGAUUGAAAGCUUUAAUCUAAUAUCUCUAUUCUUUUGUUUUUCAAUUUUGAAAGUUACUUUGAUGGUUGGAUCAAUUUUUGUUUAUUUAUUUGAUUUUUUGCCUUUUGUUUUCUACAAGUUUCAGCGUAUUUGCUACUAUGGUUUUAGCAAUCCGUUUGAGGGUUUAAAUUUGGGCAACUCUUGGUCACACAUUGAACAGGGGUAAUGCAUCAUUGGUACCAAGGAAUUUAUGAGGGUCUCUACAAAACAGUUGGUAUGGUACUCAAGGCAGUACAUAUCUUGUGUAACAAGAUUUAUGGAUUACUUUGUUGGAUGUAUGGGCGGCUCCUACAGAUAUUCCAAUCGGGAGCUUCUGAUGCAAUUUCUUCAAGGCAAGGAGACAUUGAGAUGCAGCGGAAGUACCUCAGGAUUUAGUGGCCUAAUAUUGUUAACUACCUAUAAUCUACAAAGUAAGCAACUUACGCAAUUUUCCCUGUGAAAGUUUGAAUUUAUUUUCACUUUGUUCAAACUAAGCAAUGCAAUUUUUAAAAUUUUUAGCAACUAGAUUUAAAGGUUAAAAGGUAUAGGGAAAGCUAGAUUUCCAUUCUUUUUAAACCAGACGGAACCAGAACAUUAGGACACCACAUCUGACCCAAACACAGCAGCCAUAAUAGAAUACUACAAAUAGACAACACAGUUGCUCUAGCUUAGAACAAAAAACAUGCAUAUAUAGUGACUGAUGUUUACAAACUUUGUGGUUACUAAAUAGGAUCCCGAUGCUUGUGAUUCCUUUCCUGUGUAGUAGUCAUAGCUGGUCUAAGAGUUAAAAUUGAUUGCAAUAUCCUUUUUGUGUUGCAUUCCCAAAAGUGGCAUCCUAGUAAUACUUUAUUGCUUUAUUUGUGUUUGCACACACGAGCAGUAGAUGCCGAGUCGGCCCCUCUGCUAGAUUUCUCUCACACCACCUUUUGGAUGCAAAUCCAUAACGUCCCAGCACACAUUGCUACUCAGGAAACAGGUGAAUCAAUUGGAAAAACACUAGGUCAGGUGGUGCAAGUGGCUGAUCCUGAAGACGACAACUUGAGGGGUGAGUUUUUGAGAGUGCGAAUAGUCUUAGAUUUCACUCGGCCUCUACAAAGAUGCUGUAAGCUAUGGGCUGAAAGGAAACUAGUGGGUUGGGUGGGUCUAAAAUAUGAACAACUUCCAAAUUUUUGUUAUUGGUGUGGGAUUGUUGGACAUGGGGAUAGAGAUUGUGAAGUGUGGCUUCAUGGCAAGGGUCAUUUAAGGAGAGAAGACCAAUAGUAUAGAGAUUGGUUGAGAGCAGAUGUAGCAAGAAUAACACGUAAAUCGGUGGCUAUGAUUGCUGGGGCUUCUCGGUCUCAAGCACCUUGGAUGAAGCAGAAGAAAUUUCAAGUCCACAAUCAAAGUGAGCAGAGUGGGGACUUCUCCCAAUCAAAUACCAUGGAUAACUCAGGUCUUGGGAGCAGACGAGUUAUCGGAGCGAAGCACGCCUCAGUCCCAAAUCCUGUGGUCUCUCCGGUUGUGGUGGUUAGCCAAGGUAGUUCAUCUAAGCGCAAACAGGUUGCGUUGAAUGCAGAUGGGGGGUUUCCAGAGAUGCAGGCGGCAAGGUUGUAAAAGUGUGUGGUUGGCUUGACUAUCACAAAACCAAUGGGUUUGUGAUAGUAAGGUAUUGCCAACUGAGGAGCAGGCAAGUAAGGUGUUGCCUUCGGAAUCACAAAGCCCUACGUGUGAUAGCUCAAACAGAGCUACACCCUUAGUGAAAUUAGCAAGGGAGUGGAAAAGAUUAUCUCGUGAGAAAGGAUCUUCAACCCAUGAGUACAAUAUGGGAAGUGGUUCUAGUGGUGAGAGGGGGGAAAACAUGCUUGGGAAGCGUCACAUGUGUUCAAACCUUGAGGAGCAGGGUAAUAAGAAGCAUUGCAUGGAUAUUGGUGGCUUGGAGGACAUCCAAUUUUCUAAGGUGGUUGUUGGGGUCCAGCACCACCGGUCGCAAUGAGUUGCCUUAGUUGGAACUAUCAUGGGCUUGGGAACCCACAGACAGAGGAUGAAGUUGUUGCCUUGGUGACAGCUAAAGAUCACAUGCAGGUUUUCUUAAUGGAAACAAAAGCUGACAAACCUACUUUGGAGAGAGUUGGUAGAAAGAUUCACUAUACUAAUUUGUUCUUUGUUCCUCGUGUCAAUACAGGUGCUGGCCUUGCUUUGUAUUGGAAGUCUGAGACCGAGGUGGAUGUGCAGGCUUUCUCUAAUUGCCACAUUGACGCUAUUAUUAACCAAGGAGUGGAUGACACCUGGCGUUUCAUGGGUUUCUAUGGAGAACCUGAUACAACCAGCCGGGAACACUCCUCGGCUACCCUUCGUGCUUUGAGUCACCAUUCUUCGUUGCCUUGGGUGUGUAUGGGUGACUUCAAUGAAAUUUUGUUUGCUGAGGAGAAAAUGGGAUGGUUGGACAGACCGGAGAGCCAAAUGUAGGGUUUCAGGAAUGCUUUGGAUUAUUGUAGACUAAAAGACCUUAGGUUUAAUGGGUUUCCUUUUAUGUGGUGUAAUCGUAGACCUAGUGAUCAAAAUACUUAGAUUCGGCUGGAUAGGGGUGUGGCUACUAUUGAGUGGAUUUUACAGUUUCCAACUUCUCGAAUAUAUCAUUUUGAAGCCUUCCAUUCAGACCAUAAACCUCUCCUGCUUUGCUCAGAGUCAGAAUUUAAAAGAUUCUAUAGGAGGGGUAAGCCCUUUCGGUUUGAAUCUAUGUGGUUAAAGGACACUUCUUAUGAAGGGGUGAUAAAAGAUUCUUGGAGAGAGCGGCCUGUGUUGGAUUCAGUUUGGGGCUUUAAUAGAAAGAUAAUGGCAUGUCAAGGUAAUCUGAAGGAGUGGAAUAAAAAGUGUUUCGGGCAUGUCCAAAAUUCUUUGGCCAAAAAACUUAAAGAGCUGAAAAGUGCAGAGGAAGAUGGUAGCUAUGUAACAAACCCGUACAGAAUUUACUCAUUGAGAGAGGAGAUUCAAAAGCUUAAAGGUAGGGAAGAAAGCAUGUGGAAGCAGCGAUCUCGAAACGCAUGGCUUAAGGAAGGUGAUAGUAAUUCACGUAUUUUCAUUGUCGAGCUACUCAACGAAAUCGCCGAAAUUUCAUAGUGGGAUUGGAAGAUGGGGAGGGUGUUUGGAUAGAGGAUGAAGCUCAGAUGGGUGGCAUUAUAGAGGAGUACUUUCGAUCAAUCUAUACAACCUUAAAUCCUUCAGGCCUAAAUGAGAUUCUCAAUGAAAUCCAACCUGCCUUGACCAAGGAGGCAGCUGUGCUAUUGGGCCGAGAUUUCAAUGAUGAGGAGGUUCGGAUUGCUCUUAGCCAAAUGGCACCCCUUAUUGCAUCGGGGCCUAAUGGUAUGUCCCCUAUUUUCUGUAAGUCUUUUUGGCACAUUGUAGGUCAGGAUGUGACGUCAGUUGUGCUUAAUGCUUUGAAUACUAGGGUAGUGCCUGAAUUACUCAUCUCUACUUUUAUUUCUCUUUUUCCGAAAAUAAAACAUCCCAAAAAAGUAUCUGAUUAUCGGCCCAUUAGUCUUUGUAAUGUCAUUUAUAAGUUGAUUUCUAAGGUGUUAGUGAAUAGGCUAAAAAAAUUUAUGGCGAGUGCCAUUCCUGAGUCUCAAAGUGCAUUCUUAUCUGGUCGUCUUAUUUCAGACAAUGUUCUAGUGGCAUUUGAAACUCUCCAUUACCUUAAGCAAAAAACGAAGGGAAAGGUGGGCCAUAUGGCGCUCAAGCUUGACAUGAGCAAAGCCUAUGACUGGGUGGAAUGAGAAUUUUUAGAGAAAAUAAUGCUGCAUCUUGGGCUUGGGGAGAGGAUUGUUAGUCUCAUUAUGUCAUGCAUAAGAUCUGUGUCCUACUCUAUGAUUUUGAAUGGGAAAACUGUUGGAUAUAUUAAGCCUAGCCGUGGUCUCCGUCAAGGUGACCCACUAUCGCCUUACAUUUUUCUUAUGUAUGCAAUGGGGUUGCAAAGUUUAUUACAGAAGGCUGAAUUGGAAGGGCAGAUUCAUGGGGUGGCUAUAUGUAGAAACGAUCCAAAGGUGUCACAUUUAUUUUUUGCAGAUGACAGUGUUUUAUUUUGCCGUGCAAAUGAAGAUGAAUGCCAGAAAAUACUUGACAUCUUAGAUAUCUAUGAGAGAGGCUCAGGGCAGAAGGUAAACCGUGACAAAACUAAUGUUUUCUUUAGCUCCAAUACCUCCCAUGAAGUGUAGGUGCGGAUUCAAUAGAUUUUGGGUGUCCCUUCCAUUCGUCAAUUUGAAAAAUAUUUGGGUUUGCCGGCUUUAGUGGGUAGAGCAAAGAAACAAAGCUUCAUCUAUAUCAAAGAAAGGGUUUGGAAGAAACUUCAAGGGUGGAAAGAGAAGCUUUUGUCUCACGCUGGUAGGGAAGUUUUAAUCAAAUCCGUCAUCUAGGUGAUUCCAACAUACUCUAUGAGUUGCUUCAAACUCCCUAAGGGGUUAAUUAAGGAAUUGAAAGUUUUGAUCUGGAAAUUUUGGUGGGGUUAUAAUGGUGAAAGUAGAAAGACCCAUUGGGUGAAAUGGGAGCGUUUAUGUGAAGCUAAGGAGGUAGGGGAGUUGGAGUUUAAAGAAAUUGAGAAGUUCAAGGAGGCUUUGUUAGCUAAAUAAGUAUGGCGUAUGAUUAACAACCCCGAUUCUCUUUGCCAUUGUGUUUUCAAGGCGUGGUUUUUGUCGGAGUGUUCUAUUUUAAAGGCAAAAGAUUCACCUACGGGGUCCUAUGCGUGGAAAAGUAUCAUUGGUACAAGGGAUGUAAUUCGUAAAGGGAUGAUAUGGUGUAUAUGAACAGGGGAUUCUGUGCGACUCAAGGUGGAUAAGUGGCUGCCUGGGCCCACAAACAGAUCGGUCAUCUCUCCCCUACCCCAAAUUCCUGAGGAUUCCAAAGUCAGUAUGUUGAUUGAUCAGGACAGAGUUGAGUGGAAAUCGGAGUUGGUGCAACAGCUCUUUUUACCCCAUGAAGCUGAAAUUAUUUUGGGUAUCCCUCUGAGCAUUCGGCGUCCUGUGGAUCGUAUUAUAUGGGCUCAUACGCCGUCUGGUAUGUUUACUAUUAGUAGUGCGUAUAAGUUGCUUGUUUCUUGUGAAUCUGUCUCUAAUGCAGGUACCUCCAAUCUGGAUAUUCAAAAAAAAUUCUGGAAGAGUAUAUGGCAGUUACGGGUUCCUAAUAAAAUUAAACAUUUUGCUUGGCAUGCCAGCAACAAUGCUUUGCUAACAAUGGUAAAUCUUCCAAAUUGUUCUAAAUGUUAGCUGCAAUCUAUGCAAAGAUCAACCAGAAGAUGUUUUACCUGCAGUCUGGUUUUGCAAGGAGAUUCGUGGCGUUUGGGACUCUCUUGACUGGUCCCACCAAUCGGUUCUGUCUCCUCCUAUGUGUUUUAGUGAUCUGCUUGCCAGGUUUCUGCAUUCCCGUGACGAAUUUUGAGCUAAGAUCUUUAUCAUUGCAGCGUGGAUGAUUUGGAAUAGACGCAAUGCGCUUCACUUUGGCCGACCUGCCCUUCUAGUUCCUAGCAUUUGUAGUAAAGCUAGCAGCUAUUUGCAAGAAUUUCUUCAAGCCCAGACUGAGGAACCAGCCCCACCCCGAGCUCCUGUUGUGCAGCAGUGGCGCCUUCCCGAUUCCCAUUGCUUCAAGGUGAAUUUUGAUGCUCCGGUGUUUCGUGAUUUAAACAAGGCAGGCUUAGGUGUUAUUGUUCGUGACUGUGGAGGUGCGGUUUUGGGAGCUCUGUCUUCAUCGAUUCCCCUGGCCCAAUCAGUAGCUGAUGUAGAAGCCUUAGCAUGUUUGAAGGUGGUAAAGUUUGCUCUUGAGAUUGGUCUUACCCGUGUGAUCUUUGAGGGUGAUUCUGCUGUCAUCAUUAGCGCUCUCACUCAAGAAAACGGUGAGGUGGCCAACUAUGGUAACAUUUUAGAGGAUAUUAGGCAGCUCGUAGGUGCUUUUCAGUCUGUUAUUUUCUCUCAUACAAGUUGUGUUUGUAAUUCUGUUGUUGAUGCUCUUGCUAAGAAAGCUAAGCUAGUGGUUGGGGAUCA